UUUUUUUUUUUUUUUUUUUUUUUUUUUUUUUUUUUUUUUUUUCUU
rnacentral:ribozyme from 1 species